rnacentral:lncRNA from 1 species
GGGUUAAAAUCACUGUCCAAAACCUUUGUAGGAACUCUUUUCCAACCUUUUUGAGUUGGUUACACCAAUAAAAAUGUAAAAUGAAAAAAAAAUAUUUGGGGUGUUCGGGCUUCCUGAAGGUAAUACCCGGGAAUCAGGUUAUGGGGCUAUGGUAAGUUUUAAGGUUUUUGGCGUUAGGGUUAAAAUCACUGUCCAAAACCUUUGUAGGAACUCUUUUCCAACCUUUUGGAGUUAGUUAGACCAAAAAAAAAAAAAAUGAAAAAUGAAAAAAAAAAUAUUUGGGGUGUUCGGGCUUCCUGAAGGUAAUACCCGGAUAUUAGAUUUUAAGGCUAGGGUAAGGUUUAAGGUUUUUGGCGUUAGGGUUAAAAUCACUGUCCAAAACCUUUGUAGGAACUCUUUUCCAACCUUUUGGAGUUAGUUAGACCAAAAAAAAAAUAAAAAAGAAAAAAAAAUUAUUGGGGGUUUUCGGGCUUCCUGAAAGUAAUACCCGGGUAUUAGGUUUUGGGACUAGGGAAAGGUUUAAGGUUUUUGGCGUUAGGGUUAAAAUCACUGUCCAAAACCUUUGUAGGAACUCUUUUCCAACCUUUUGGAGUUAGUUAGACCAAAAAAAUAAGAAAAAUGAAAAAAAAAUAUUUGGGGUGUUCAGGCUUCCUAAAAGUAAUACCCGGGUAUUAGGUUAUGGGGCUAUGGUAAGGUUUAAGGUUUUUGGCGUUAGGGUUAAAAUCACUGUCCAAAACCUUUGUAGGAACUCUUUUCCAACCUUUUGGAGUUAGACCAAAAAAAAAGAAAAAUGAAAAAAAAAUAUUUGGGGUUUUCGGGCUUCCUGAAGGUAAUACCCGGGUAUUAGAUUUUAAGGCCAGGGUAAGGUUUAAGUUUUUUGGCAUUAGGGUUAAAAUCACUGUCCAAAACCUUUGUAGGAACUCUUUUCCAACCUUUUGGAGUUAGUUAGACCAAAAAAAAAUGUAAAAUGAAAAAAAAAUAUUUGGGGUGUUCAGGCUUCCUAAAAGUAAUACCUGGGUAUUAGAUUUUAAGGCUAGGGAAAGGUUUAAGGUUUUUGGCAUUAGGGUUAAAAUCACUGUCCAAAACCUUUGUAGGAACUCUUUUCCAACCUUUUGGAGUUAGUUAGACCAAAAAAAAAUGAAAAAUGAAAAAAAAUAUUUGGGGUUUUCGUGCUCCCUGAAAGUAAUACCUGGGUAUUAGGUUUUGGCACUAGGGAAAGGUUUAAGGUUUUUGGCGUUAGGGUUAAAAUCACUGUCCAAAACCUUUGUAGGAACUCUUUUCCAACCUUUUUGAGUUGGUUACACCAACAAAAAUGUAAAAUGAAAAAAAAAUAUUUGGGGUGUUCGGGCUUCCUGAAGGUAAUACCCGGGUAUUAGGUUAUGGGGCUAUGGUAAGUUUUAAGGUUUUUGGCGUUAGGGUUAAAAUCACUGUCCAAAACCUUUGUAGGAACUCUUUUCCAACCUUUUGGAGUUGGUUACACCAAAAAAAAUGUAAAAUGAAGAAAAAAAUAUUUGGGGUGUUCGGGCUUCCUGAAGGUAAUACCCGGGUAUUAGGUU